GACAGAGGGUGCAAACGUUGUUCGGAAUUACUGGGCGUAAAGCGCGUGUAGGCGGCUUGGCAAGUCGGGUGUGAAAGCCCCGGGCUCAACCUGGGAAGUGCACUCGAAACUGCUUGGCUUGAGUACUGGAGAGGGAAGCGGAAUUCUCGGUGUAGAGGUGAAAUUCGUAGAUAUCGAGAGGAACACCGGUGGCGAAGGCGGCUUCCUGGGCAGUCACUGACGCUGAGACGCGAAAGCGUGGGGAGCAAACAGG
rnacentral:rRNA from 1 species